GAUGAACGCUGGCGGUAUGCUUAACACAUGCAAGUCGAACGGACUCUUCGGAGUUAGUGGCGGACGGGUGAGUAACGCGUGAGAAUCUGGCUUUGGGUUCGGGACAACCACUGGAAACGGUGGCUAAUACCGGAUGUGCCGAGAGGUAAAAGAGAAAUUGCCUGAAGAUGAGCUCGCGUCUUAUUAGCUAGUUGGUGAGGUAAAGGCUCACCAAGGCAGCGAUCAGUAGCUGGUCUGAGAGGAUGACCAGCCACACUGGGAAUGAGACACGGCCCAGACUACUACGGGAGGCAGCAGUGGGGAAUUGUCCGCAAUGGGCGAAAGCCUGACGGAGCAAUACCGCGUGAGGGAAGAAGGCUCUUGGGUUGUAAACCUCUUUUCUUAGGGAAGAACAAAAUGACGGUACCUAAGGAAUCAGCAUCGGCUAACUCCGUG
rnacentral:rRNA from 1 species